ACAGAGAGAGGGAAGAGUUCAUUAACAAAUGAGGAAGAACUGCUCAGGCAAAAUGAAAUAGUUUGGUUAUUUCCUGGGAGAAUAAUAGCAAGCACUCUCUGAAUAUUAACUAGUAGAACUAAAGCACAAGUUUUACAGUCUAUGUGAAACAAGGGGAUGUUUGCCACUCGACUGCUGCUGGACCUGCUGAUGAGUACACUGACAGUGCUUUCUUAUUCUGAGCAGCAUGACUUUCUGCAGCAGGCACAGCCGAGGUCAGCAAGACAGGGUAAGACUGUGCACUAUCUGUAAAUCAGCAAGAUACUGGACUGUGUUCUGGACAGAUUUCACAGCAAGCAGUUGAGACAGGUCAGUAUAAACACCUGCGCUGCAUGUGAGCUGCUGACUUCUGAGGAGGAAUUUCUCCUAAUUGGUCUGUGCAAAGAAAGCUAAUAUAAGAGGGGGAGGAGGGGGGAAAGCAUGCAUUGGUUGGAGAGUGGAUAAGAACCUCCAUCUGACCCAAAACGCGUCUUGGCUGUGACAAAGAAAAGUGAAAUAAAUUGCAAGGUCGCUG
rnacentral:lncRNA from 1 species